UGGCGAACGGGUGAGUAACACGUGAGAAACCUAUCCUGGUCUCUGGGAUAACAGUCGGAAACAACUGCUAAUACCGGAUGCCGUCGGAGCGCUGCAUGGCGCACUGACGAAAGGGUUACUGGAUCAGGAGGGUCUCGCGGCCUAUCAGCUUGUUGGUGGGGUAAUGGCCUACCAAGGCAUCGACGGGUAGCUGGUCUGAGAGGAUGAUCAGCCACACUGGGACUGAGACACGGCCCAGACUCCUACGGGAGGCAGCAGUGGGGAAUCUUGCGCAAUGGGCGAAAGCCUGACGCAGCAACGCCGCGUGCGGGAAGAAGGCCUUCGGGUUGUAAACCGCUUUCAGAAGGAACGAAACUGACGGUACUUUCAGAAGAAGGUGCGGCCAACUACGUGCCAGCAGCCGCGGUGACACGUAGGCACCAAGCGUUGUCCGGAUUUAUUGGGCGUAAAGAGCUCGUAGGCGGUUCGAUAAGUCGGGUGUGAAAACUUUGGGCUCAACCCAAAGCGUGCAUUCGAUAC
rnacentral:rRNA from 1 species